AUUUCUAUAGUUGAAGACAACAGCGGCUCUUCAAGCCGCAGGUCUCAGAUAAAACCUGAGUAGAAAUA
rnacentral:tRNA from 1 species